CCUACGGGUGGCAGCAGUGAGGAAUAUUGGUCAAUGGACGAGAGUCUGAACGAGCCAAGUAGCGUGAAGGAUGACUGCCCUAUGGGUUGUAAACUUCUUUUAUAUGGGAAUAAAAUGUUCCACGUGUGGGAUUUUGUAUGUACCAUAUGAAUAAGGAUCGGCUAACUCCGUGCCAGCAGCCGCGGUAAUACGGAGGAUCCGAGCGUUAUCCGGAUUUAUUGGGUUUAAAGGGAGCGUAGGUGGAUUGUUAAGUCAGUUGUGAAAGUUUGCGGCUCAACCGUAAAAUUGCAGUUGAAACUGGCAGUCUUGAGUACAGUAGAGGUGGGCGGAAUUCGUGGUGUAGCGGUGAAAUGCUUAGAUAUCACGAAGAACUCCGAUUGCGAAGGCAGUUCACUGGACUGCAACCGACACUGAGGCUCGAAAGUGUGGGUAUCAAACAGGAUUAGAUACCCGGGUAGUC
rnacentral:rRNA from 1 species